AUUGAACGCUGGCGGCAGGCCUAACACAUGCAAGUCGAGCGAGCGGCGGACGGGUGAGUAAUGUCUGGGAAACUGCCUGAUGGAGGGGGAUAACUACUGGAAACGGUAGCUAAUACCGCAUACCAUCAGAUGUGCCCAGAGGGGAUUAGCUAGUAGUUGGGGUAACGGCUCACCUAGGCGACGAUCCCUAGCUGGUCUGAGAGGAUGACCAGCCACUAUUGAUCUGGGACACGGUCCAGACUCCUACGGGAGGCAGCGUUGGGGAAUAGUGCACAAUGGGCGCAAGCCUGAUGCAGCCAUGCCGCGUGUGUGAAGAAGGCCUUCGGGUUGUAAAGCACUUUCAGCGGGGAGGCGUUACCCGCAGAAGAAGCACCGGCUAACUCCGUGCCAGCAGCCGCGGUAAUUC
rnacentral:rRNA from 1 species